rnacentral:rRNA from 1 species
UACGUAGGGUGCGAGCGUUAAUCGGAAUUACUGGGCGUAAAGUGUGCGCAGGCGGCCGAGCAAGUCGAGUGUGAAAGCCCCGGGCUUAACUUGGGAAUUGCGCUCGAAACUACUUGGCUGGAGUGUGGCAGAGGGGGGUGGAAUUCCACGUGUAGCGGUGAAAUGCGUAGAUAUCCGGAGGAACACCAGAGGCGAAGGCGACCUCCUGGGUCGUACCUGACGCUGAGAUGCGAAAGCUAGGGGAGCAAACGGG